UCACAUUGGCCACUCUUGCCAAGUAUUCAAAUCCUGUGGCUAGAGGAGCCGAGCCAUGCUUUCUGACUAUUCAACGGUUUGCUAACUGAGGCCUCAAGCUGUGAGUUGCAUGAAGUCUUCUCUGGUCUAGAAGAGAGGCAUCCGUGAUCUGAGCGGACCUGAAGAUGAAUUUCAGGAUGGUCCCACUAUUGGGCAGUAGAAUGUCUAGGAUAUAAAUGGGGAGGUUGGGAGGGAUGGAAUAUUCUGGUCUGGGAGAGAAGAGGACACCUACUUUUGAUUGGAGAAGACCAAGGAAGGGCUGGAGGUGCCAGGAAACUACAGCAUGGGAUCUUGCCAAUAUAAAGCAAAGUGACAGAAUUCAGCCACUGCAAAAUCAUCAGUUUUAUUCCGUUUGUUUGUGGACAGGAAACUGGUGUCCAGAGAGUUGUCAGUAAGUCAAUGUGGUUAGACUGCAUGUAGUGGUCCUUAUGUGUGAAGGGAACGAUCUUGGAAUGCAGAUUCAGAUACCAGGAGCCCAGGCGGGUGUCUCAGCUCUUUCCCCAACUCCAUCACCUCACAAACAGGGCAUGUAAGACCAGGGUGAGACCCUGUGUUUCCAGAUGGGAAGAAAUGUAGGUGCACCCACUUUCCUGGGUUUCCUCUUGUACAGUGCCCACUCCUGAGGACUCCCUGUGUCCUGCUCUUCCCAGUCAUGCUGCUAAUCACCUUCUCCCUGCCUUGAAGGUUGUCACUUCCUGUCCAGCAUCAUGUCCCAGGAAGUUAGUCCCAGAACCUCAGUGGAUGCACAGCUACAGACAGAUCCUUCUCCUCUGCACAUACAUCAUGUUGUGAUCUGUUUGUCAUCUCUGAGCUCAUCAGACUGCAAGCUUCAAAGGGGUGAUAGCCCUGCCACUGUAUUUUCAUGGAAUCUACACAACUUUUGAGAUAAAAAUACACAGCGAUCAAAUAUGUGACUAUGUGAUCUUAUGUGAGACGGUGAAUAUGAUACUGUGUGAGUCUUCAUGUGUAUGAGAACGUAUGUUACUGUGUGUGAAUGUGUGCUUGAGUGGGAGUGUGAAUGUGUAUGUUUGAGUAUGUGCAUGACUCUGUGUGAAUAAGUGUUUGUAAGUGUGUGACCUUCCAUGUGGGUGUAAUCAAGUGUGUGGGUUAGUGAAUGUUUGUGAGUGUGAGUACAUGAAUACCCAAGGGACUGUGAAAAUAUGCAUGUGUGACUGUGUGAGAAUGAGUGUGUAUUUGUGCAAGUGU
rnacentral:lncRNA from 1 species